AUGGGUGGGUUUAUGAGCACCCAGGAAUUUAUUCCCUGUUUGCUUUAUCCCUCGUGCUUGUUUGCUGGAGGGUUCGUUUCCCGCAAUUAUCCGGAAAGUGAUUUACAAGGCGGCGUUAAGCUCUGGCGCGCUCUUUCUCUCUUCGCUUGGGCCCCUCUGAGGCUUCAGAGGCGAGAAGUUUCAGGCGGGCAGAGGAGUGACCCUGACCCGCCGGCCUCUGGCCGAGGGUUUCGAAGGUCGCUAGGAGCAUCCCCACACCCCAAAUGUCCCGCCCAACUUCAGGGGUGCAGGGAGGGGCUGGCAGCAUCCGGGGAGCCCCAGCUCUGCGCCCGUUUCCACAGGUCGUCAAAACGGAGGCAGAAUCGGGCCACGCUAUUCAGGUCCGAAGUGCCCGCCCGUGAGCCCAGGCCCGCCUGGCCGCUGCCCGUCGCGGCCCAGGCCCAGUGGCCGCGCCCCUCAGAGCUGCGCCCAGGCCCGCUCGAGGGCCCAGGAGCGGCGGCGUUUAGCAGGGUGGCCCAUGAGGGCUGCGCGCCUUCUUGGCGUCGCCAGACCCUCUGGCGCCAAAUGCGCGCCUCGGCUCCGCGCCCUCAACGUCAGGCCAAGCGCCGGGGAUGCGGCCUUUGCCCAAGAGCAGGCCCUCCGGCCUCGGCUCCCCACUCGCCCACGGCUACCCGGCCUGGUCCGGUGAUUACGAUUGGGCCCGCCGGACAGAAGAGACGGCCUGCCUGGGGUUCUUGGAGAUCUGCUAGUCCCUACAGCCCCACCCGAGAAAACAAUCGAUGGAGAAGGCACAGGGAGGCGGCCGCCGUGGAGCCAUUCCGUUGGCCCAUGGCCCGGCUCCGGGGCAGGGCUCAGCAAGCGCGGUCACAGGCCCCUCCUCCUGCCUCCAGUGGUUUGGGGAUUUGGUUGCUAAAUUUCAGGGAGGGGCACGGCGCUCGAGUGGCCGCACACGGAAUCCUGCCUCCACCUGCACUGCACUCGGACCUGGCUCCGGUGCGGUGGCCGCGGCCCCUGCCGGCCCCCUCCCCGCAGCCUCCCGGUCAAGCGUGCCCCAGGCGCCCGGGCUGCGCGGCGCGCUGGGUGGUCGGGCGGAGGCAACCCCAAGCCAGGCCAACUGCUAGGCCUCGGACAAAGGGGAAAAGGAGCUCGACGCCCCGGACCUGUUGGAAGCAUUUGUUCCAGUCAAGAUUUUGCAUUUGUUCAGUCCGAAAUAAUGCGUGA
rnacentral:lncRNA from 1 species